rnacentral:rRNA from 1 species
ACGUAGGUGGCAAGCGUUGUCCGGAUUUACUGGGUGUAAAGGGCGCGUAGGCGGGACUGCAAGCCAGAUGUGAAAUGCAGGGGCUUAACCCCUGAAAUCCACUUGAAACUGUGGUUCUUGAGUAAUGGAGAGGCAGGCGGAAUUCUCAGUGUAGCGGUGAAAUGCGUAGAUAUUAGGAGGAACACCAGUGGCGAAGGCGGCCUUCUGGACUUUAACUGACGCUGAUGCGCGAAAGCGUGGGGAGCAAACAG